GAAUUCGCCCUUAGAGUUUGAUCCUGGCUCAGGAUGAACGCUAGCGGCAGGCUUAACACAUGCAAGUCGCGGGGCAGCGUGGGUGUAGCAAUACACCUGACGGCGACCGGCGGAAGGGUGCGUAACGCGUGAGCAACUUGCCCGUAUCUGGGACAUAACCGGUGGAAACGCCGCCUAAUCUCCCAUAACAACAGAGAAGACAUCUUCUUUGUUUGAAAGCUCCGGCGGAUACGGAUGGGCUCGCGUGACAUUAGCUAGUUGGAGUGGUAACGGCACACCAAGGCUACGAUGUCUAGGGGUUCUGAGAGGAAGGUCCCCCACAUUGGAACUGAGACACGGUCCAAACUCCUACGGGAGGCAGCAGUGAGGAAUAUUGCACAAUGGGGGAAACCCUGAUGCAGCGACGCCGCAUGAGUGAAGAAGUAUUUCGGUAUGUAAAGCUCUAUCAGCAGGGAAGAUAAUGACGGUACCUGACUAAGAAGCACCGGCUAAAUACGUGCCAGCAGCCGCGGUAAUACGUAUGGUGCAAGCGUUAUCCGGAUUUACUGGGUGUAAAGGGUGCGUAGGUGGUAUGGCAAGUCGGAAGUGAAAACACGGGGCUCAACCCCGUGACUGCUUUUGAAACUGUCAAACUAGAGUGCAGGAGAGGAAAGCGGAAUUCCUAGUGUAGCGGUGAAAUGCGUUGAUAUCCUAUAGAACACCGGAGGCGAAGGCGGAUUCCUGGAACGGUACUGACGCUGAGGCGCGAAAGUCGGGGGAGCAAACAGGAUAGAAUACACUGGUAGUCCCGACCUUAAACGGGGCACACUCGAGGGGGGAGCGGUUGACGCGCCCGUCUCUUAGCUAACGCGAUAAGUGUGCCGCCUGGGGAGUACGGCCGCAAGGCUAAAACUCAAAGAAAUUGACGGGGGCCCGCACAAGCAGAGGAGCAUGUGGCUUAAUUCGAUGCAACGCGAAGAACCUUACCUGGAUUUGACAUACAGCUGCAAGGGGUAUGAAAGUAUCCCGCCUUCGAGGGUGCUGUACAGGUGCUGCAUGGCUGUCGUCAGUUCGUGCCGUGAGGUGUUUGGUUAAGUCCACCAACGAACGCAACCCCUAUCGCAUGUUGCCAGCGGGUCAAGCCGGGAACUCGUGCGAGACUGCUCGUUUACGCGAGAGGAAGGUGGGGAUGACGUCAAGUCAGUAUGGCCCUUACAUCCAGGGCUGCACACGUGCUACAAUGGCAUAUACAGAGCGACGCGAGACCGCAAGGUGGAGCAAACCGCACAGAGUAUGCCUCAGUUCAGAUUGGGGUCUGCAACCCGACCCCAUGAAGUCGGAUUUGCUAGUAACGGCGUAUCAGCUACGACGCCGUGAAUGCGUUCCCGGGCCUUGCACACAACGCCCGUCA
rnacentral:rRNA from 1 species